rnacentral:lncRNA from 1 species
GCGCCGUUGACUCAGUCUGUCCUCAGCCUCCUCUCCGCCGCUUUCCUCCUUGGCUUCCUCUCUGAUCCGGCCGCUGCUCGUCCCUGCAAAACCCUUUUCAUCUCCUCCUACUCCGUAUCCUUCCACCCCAAUUUCCCCGAUCAAAAUAACCCUAACUCCGCAGGCACCGCCGGAAUUCUCACGAUUUUCACUGAGAUCCGGCAAUUUAACCCCCGUCCGCCGCUCACCUUCGUCGACGCCGUCGAGGAUCAGCACCCGAUCGAGCGUCCGCCGCGAUUUGGCCUCGGUCUAGGGUUCGACUCCGACUCCCUCCGCGACCGCACCAAGGACGUGCUCAGCGUUGUUGUGGCGCUGCUCUUCGGCGUCGGCUGUGGCGCUCUCACCGCCGCAACCAUGUACUUGGGUUGGUCGCUCUUCUCCAACCGCCACCGCUACUCCGACUUCGAUUACGAUGACUUUGAGGAUGAUGACGUUGACAUGAGCCCUAAGAAGGUGGGCUAUGUGAGGAUCCCUCCUCCUGCUGAUGCCUCUACUCCCGUGGCAAAAGAGGCGGUAUGAGGCACAGAAAAAUUAGGGUUUUAAUGCUUAAUGCCUAGUGUUUUGCGUUUCUGAACCAGGUGCUAUUUGCUAUGUUAUUAUGAAUUAUAUUGCUAAAAAUGUGGGUACUUAUAUGGUUUUGUGUUUCUCAAUCACAUCUAUAACUAUGCUUUGUGUAUAUUUAUCAUCUAAUACAUUGAAUGCUUGUUUUAUUUAAUUUUUUUCUUUCGCUUGGGCUUCGAUUAUUUGGAAGGAAAAAUUGUUCUCUGACAUAUGUUCGAUUAAUCUUCUUUUUUUUUUUGUAUGAGAAGCUUUUUGGUUGAAACAAAUGGGGCCUUGGUCUGGUUUCUUUUAUUUAAUUGCAGGUUGUAUACCUUAAGGUUGAUGGUGCGGUGAUUUUGUAGUUUUCCUAAAGUUGAUGAUUGCGUAAUUUUGCCCUUUUGUCGGAGUUUGUUGUAGUAGAUGAUGUUGUGAUUUUGUAGUUUUGCACGAAUGAUCGACUACUUUUUUCCAUUAUCUUUAUGUGUUGUGACCAAAUUUUUAACAUGCUUGAUUUUCAGCAAGUGUUUGUGAAAAUAGCAAGAUUUUGGCCAUAGGCUGUUUCAGGGAAGGGGAUUGCAUUUUCAUUUUAGUUUUCAUUCUUUUGCUUUACUCCCUUUAGCAGGUGAAGUAGUGACCAUGCGUCCUUUUGUUUUCCAUAAUGAGAUUGACUUGUAUUGAGAUAUAGCUAUUGGAUAUAUAUUUUUCGGGCACUUAAUAAUAUUAUGUUCAAUCUAUUGAUGAAAUUUAGUAAUAUAUAUAUAUAUAUAUAUAUACAUAUAUAUCUCAUAUGGAAAAUUGACACGACAUUGUCUUGUCAACACUUAUUGAUGGAACUGUUUUUCACUAAAAAAUUCCCGAGGCUGUACUCAUUUUUCUGGAGCUGCAACCACUCUCCAACUAUCAAAUGCCUCUUUCAGCUUCGAUUUAGAACUUAACUUUCUAAUAAGAGAUUUUUGUUGCAUAGAAACUUAAGGAUGGAUUCCUUAUGUUGCAUGAGCAUUCAAGGCAGAUCUUCAAAUCAACUUGGCUAUCAUUUUUCAAUUAUUUUUUUUAUGCUUUAUUUUACUUUUUAAAGAAAUUAUAUUAAUUUCCUUGUCUUUAUGUGGUAUAAAUGACCAGGAUUAUAAAAGAUUGAUAUAUUUUUAGUAAUGAGGAGCCUACAUUAUAUAUUAACAUAGGCUUCGAAUUGAAUUAAAGGCCUUUCUAGAAUCAGGGGUAGGAUUAUGUAUGGGAUAGUGUUCUUUCUAGGAAGAUUACUGUUCUUUCUAUUUUAGUUUUUUUUUUCUUUGGGGGGUUGGUUUGGUCGAGUAUUCUUCUGGUUUUGUACUUGUUUUCCUUCUUUGCAUCACCUCUAGUAGUCUUGUAUCUUGCAAUAGCAUCCCAAAUUCACAAUUACAUGUUUGGUGAUUUUCAUGUGGCUUUGCAUGUGUGGUUCCUAGUAGGAACAUUAGAAGGAAAGUGGCCAAUCUUUUUGACAGACCUGGUAAUACUGUAAUGAAGAGAAACAAAUAGAAAGGAGUAAAAGGAAAUCAACAAACACCUUGGUGUCAAUGUAACAUAGUAACUUUCCAUGACCAUACAGUAAAUCCGGUAAUCUUUCGGGGGUUUUAGCAUGUCCAUGAACUGUCUUAAAAUUCUAGAGUGGGACUUCCAGUUCAAGAUAAUGGCAAAAGUAACAGAAUGAUGUUAAGUGAAGUACUAACUGACUUGGAACUUCAUUGUCGUGGCUCCCUAAUUAUUAGGGAGCAGGUCUUAUAGUUUUUACAGUGGAGGUUAUUAUGCUUGGGAAAGGUUUCUCUAUCAUCCAAUAGUCAAUAAGGCCUGUUUUCUUAAUAGUUAAAGUGAUGUUGAGGGAGUCCUAGAGGCAUUUGAGCUAAAGAUUGGAGAUCAUGAUCUGUUGUACAAGAUGUUUGGAAGAUGCUCAAAGAACUGAUUCAGAGAUCAGGAUAUUUCAGACCUGUCCAGAAGGCAAUAUGGUUGCAUAUUUGAAGCCAAAUUAGGCACAGCUAGCUUAGGAAUUUUAUUUGGGCUUGCGGCUUUCCAAGUGGGGUCAUUCUGCAUCUUGCCCAUGAUCUUUUAGGCUGGGCGUUUCCCCAUUCUUUUUCUGUUUGUGAUGGGAUCUGUGAAAUGGUAUUUUAUGAAAGAAGAAAAUGCGACAAGCACAUAAUGAAGCUUUGUCUUAAAAAUUCUUUGAAAUUUUUAAGGGAACCUUUGAGGCAUGGAAAUAAUUAGCUGCAGAAGGUUUCUAUGGGAUUUACAGUCACAGAAGAAUGCAUUGAAAGUAUGUUCCAUCACUCAAAUGUUUGUCAUGCUGCUUGUAAUUCUAUUUCAGCCAGGAUUCUAUUGACUAUGCAGUAAAUACAUCAUUAUGCUCCGGUUGUUGGUGCUAGAAUUCCUUAUGGGGUUUGUCCAUUCAAAUUAGAUGUUGAGAUUUUUCCUUAUAAGAGAUAUCACUGUUUUGGCACAUUCAUUAGUUUGAGGUGAUUUUGACCUUUUAAUUAAUUGUAUUUUGGGAGUGCUUCUGAUGUCAAUGCAAUUAGUGGUUUUUGAUUAUCCUGAACUUGAUAAGGAGUUGUUUACCUGUAAUUUUGCUCGAACUGUUGCUUACACCAGUUGUUCAGGGUUAAACCAGCUUUGUUUCAGUAUUUUGCUUCAUUUAGGGCCUAAAUGUAUGCCAUACCAUACAUGGGUACUUUUAGGGUAAUGCUGACAAGGAGUUAACUAAAGGCUUCACUAGUUAUUAGCCUAAUAGAAACCUUUUCCUGUGUUGCUGUUGUUUAUCUACUCUAUUAGAGAUUGGAAUCUUUACAAUCUGUCUGCUCUGUGCUAAGAAUAACUUUCUUAGAGCCAAAUGCAGAUAAAUUGAGUGGAGAGAUCUACACCUGCACUUUCUGUUUUGUUGACUGAUUCGGCCUUUCUAAAUUUCCUUCAUGGUUGAGGCAAUUUGCAAGAUAAUUUCUGAGGUGGUGGUGGGGGCCCCUUGUUCCACAAUUUCCAUGUUUGUUUCCCCCUGAUUCUAAGUUGAAGUUUAGAGUAACUGUGGUUGAGUGGGUUGUAUUUGUCUUGAAAUUCGCAAUCUGAGAUGUAAUCUGGCAAAAUAAAUACUAGAUUUAGGUAGGUGGUGAACUCAUAGCAGCUGCUAAUAAGGACUCUUGCGUUCUUUUCAGUCAACUUUUAUGUGAGGCAUUAUGGAAAACUGUCUUGAGUCUCACUGGACUUCAUUUCCUGUUUGACUAUAAACUAGACAAUUAAUUUUCCACUUGGUGAAUAGAAAAAUAUACAGGGGAAAAAUAAUUUGGAUCUAGUAUUUGCCUCAUUUCCACUGAGAAAGCACUCCUUUGGCUAGCUUUGGGGAUUUGAUGAAUGGACAAUCUAGAGAGUUGCUGUGUUCUUAAAACAUUGGAUUCAAUUUAGAAUGCUGAGAUUUGAGUGAUCUUAUGUGCUGUUGGUGGUGCUUAUGCCAAUGUAAGGGAAAUAUGAUGCAGUGUUAGGAAUAGAAUUGAGAUGUGAAUAUGCAAUAGGAUUAUAUUUUGGGAGUAUGUGUGUGGAGCAAUAUGGCUCUGAUUGUGCUGACUUCGAAUGUAGGAGGUUGUUCAAGGAAAACAGGUUUUUGUUAUGUGUUUGUCAGGGUGAAUUGAAGAGACACAAGACUCUGUUGUCAUUCUUUCCUGUAGGAUUCAGCUGCAUAACCCCUGAUCUUAGUACUAGUACUGUGCUUCUCAUUCUACUCCAGUACACAGAGUUCGAGAUUUAGAUCUGAAUCUGUUGAUGUAUGAUAUGUCAAAAUCUUGAAGCAAUUGUCUUGAAAAGGAUUAGUGAUUAUAUGCGUUGCAUGCUGAAACUUCAAUAAGUAAAUUUAUACUCUGAAGAUCAUAAAGCAAAUGAAGCAAAUAUAUAAAAUAUAGCAAUGAUUCAAUUGUUAUACAGUUUCAAAAGAUCCAUCUAAAUAAUUAAAUCUAUAGAAUAUAGCAAAGUAUCCAUCUUGAAACAGGAAAAAACACAACCCCUUGUGCAAUCAAACUGCACAAUAGUGUUUGAAUGGAAACUAACCAUUCUGAAGCUCAAAUUGAUUGUACUGCCAUGUUUAUAUUGAUUAUUGUGAGCUAUAAUUGAUUAUGUAAGGAUGUUGGUGGCUGAUAAAAAAUUGAAAUGAAGCCUUAGAGUUGAAGGAGAGUUUUGGAAACUUUUACAAAUCUGUUUUGAAUGGGAAAGAAUAUUAAUUUUGUUUUUCUUAUUAUUAGUGGGAAAUCUUUGUUGGAUUUUUUUUUUUUUCUUUUCCUGAAAUUUUCAAUGUCUUUGUAGGGUAACUUCAUCCGAAGAAUCUUUUAUUGCUAUUCUGGAUUUUAAUUGCAGUAUAGGUAGGAUGCCCAAACUCAGACCCAAGUCCCCACUUGUCAGCAUUGUGAUGGACUCCAGCACAAUUAGUAUAGCAGGGGAAGGACAAUGGGAGCCUCUUGGCACCUUGAAUUUGCAUUUGGUCAAGUUUCAGUCAACAAUUUUUGCAGGCUGAUAUUUGACCAUCUGAGCAUGCAUUUGGUUUGUAACACAAGAUAUUGUACUGUUGACCAGCUGAGUAGGUAAUUGGUAAAGAGCACAUCCCUGGUAAUCCCACUGUUUAUUCCUUAUUUUAUGCAAGGCAUUUUCUGUUAGUCCAGGGUCGAGGCUGCUUCUCAUUCCCCUGCUUUUGUUUCCUUGAAAAUGGCUUUGUUCCUAUGGACCAUUCUGCUUUCUUGUAUUAUCAAGUGCAAUCUGCAUUCUUGUAUUAGAAGAAUGAGGACAUUAAGGAACUGAAGCACCACAAUAAGAUGUCAUGUUCCCCUUUAGUUUCUAGAUGUGCCUCAGCUGUUAGUCUCUUUAUGCUAUGCAUAUUCAUAUUGUUCCCACCCUCUUUGGGCCUCUCACUCAGAAAUUUGCUCAUUAUCUGCCAAACUCCUCCAACCCCCAAGAUGAGAAUUUCAGUUUUCUACAUCCUGAAAUCAUAAGGCACUGAGUUAUGCAAACUAGGGGGAAGAGAGCUGUAUAUGGUUAAAUGCUGAAAAGCUGUGCUUGUUUUGGGUAGCAUAACUAGAACUAAAACAAAGCAAAUAGCAUCUUCUUUUCAAUAGCCCCCACUAGUCUUUUCAAGUGUUUACAUACCUACAUUUUGAUUUGCCUUGGCAUUUGAAUGGCAUAACAAAGCUGCUGAUGCUGCCCCUUCAUGACCAUUAACAUAAACCCUUGCGAGCUACACUUGCUAUUCUUUCUGCUAAUUUCUAGUUUCAAAUGCAACAAAAGGUCAAAAUAGGUCUGUAUGAUUUGCUGGAUAUUAGAGAAGCCAUGUAGUUGAUUUGCUCAAUUGUGUCUUUAUCCGUUGAAGAAAUACAGUUUCUAACAAGAUGAAUUAUAUCUUCACGAACUUACAACACUAGAUGAGCCUUAAGAUUUCGAGAACUCCUCUGUUAAGCACUGGAAAUACACUAAUUAAUUGUAUGAACGUAUUUUUUUUUAGAAAUUUGUUAGUUGGGGGGAUCGCAGAUCGAUUAGGAAAAGAUGUUUUCAGCAUUUCUACUGUGCUUUAUUUUUUAAGCUUAUAGAAGUAUUUUAAAGCUACUGGGAUUUUGAACAUAUGAGAGGAGUUUUAGAUUAAAAAUAAAUUAACUAUUUUAACUUAAUAUUUAAAAUUAUUUUUAUUUUAAAUUAUAAUAUUAAGUUUUUUUACCAAUCGCAGUUAAUAUAUUUAAUGACUUAAAUUAAGUCAUUAAACCAUUAAGUUGAUUUACCAAACAAUUCACUAAAUGUCACAAAACCAUACCAAAAACAAGCAUUCCACACUAUGUGUAAUGAGAAAGCAUAAAUUGCCUGAUCAUUAGCUUCCAUACACUCUCAUUGCUGACCUUAAUCACAUUCCAGCAAAGCUAGAACGCAUUCCAUUUUCUAUUGCUACUAGUUUCCCUUUAUUCCUUUUUGUCUUUUCUCUUUCGUUAGAAGUUAUACUUGUUCAUAUGUUCCCUGGAUCACAAAUUUUGUAUGAAAGAAGAAUCAAAGCAUACUACACAGGCAAACAUAGAAGUAAAUAAAUAAAUAUAGACAUACAAGUCCAAGCAUGAGAAGAUAGAGGCAUAAAACACAAGCCAAGCAUAUGCGAAUCUGAAGAUGACAUAAGGCCUAACUCUCAGAAUCAUCCAAAAAUCAGAAGAGGAGGAAGGCCUAAUCCUGCCUCAACAUCAUCAAACAUCUGCAUUGUUGAUUUGUUUGGAAAUAUGUAGAGCAAUACAUCCAUGAGGGCCAAACCUUGAAUCAUUUUCAGCUUUGUUUCUUAAUCACCAUGGCUUAUUGCCAAAAGCAGGGCUUCCCUUCGAGCGAUACAUUCUUGCCACCGCAGAAGCAUUCUCCACACAACCCUUGGAAUCUCUACUAAUCCAAUCUACAGCUCUGAAUCCUCUGACAUCUGGCUUGUAACCAUCAAAUUGAGUUCCAAAUCAUAAAUAACAGAGCAUUCCCAUUAAAUUCCAAUGCAUUUCAACCUAUUAACAUUGUUUAAGGGUAAUAGGACAACCAACAAUUAGACACAAAAUUAUUGAUCUUAACAAGUUUUCUGGUAGUAAAUUUCUUAAUGACCAACAAGGUUUUAGAGUAUCACCCUUGCACACAAAUCUCAUUAGGAUGUUCCACAUAUUCUGAAACAUGAUUGCAUUCUUUUCCAAUUAAACCAAUCAACAGCAACCAUGAUAUUGAAGAAAAAAAUAUAUAUUUGAUUUUAUCCCAAAUAUCAACAUUAAGCAGCAAGAAAGAAUAUAUAUAUAUAUAUAUAUAUAUGAUCAGUAUCUUGGAGAUUAAAAUAACAAGCAACACAAUUUGUGGGAAUAUGUCAACCUCUAGAACUAAGGAAGCAUCUAGCAUGAAUACUUUAAGAAUAAGAAGCCGACUCCAGAUAAGCAUAUCAACUUUAGAAUGAGGCUUCCAGUUCCAUACAGUUGAGUGGAGAGGGAAUUCAUCUUAUCAGAGAAACUCCAAUAGACCUCCUGAUUUUCAGAGGCAAGUCAUCAAUCCUGUUCUCAAAAGUUCUUGGCUUUCAUGGAGAUGCCUAAGAGAAACACAGUGGAUUCAAAUGCUUUCUAAAACAAGCAGUGGGUUGGGCUUGAAUUUAAAGAAGGCAAUCACUUCCUUGAUGUCAGAGAUCUACCCAUGUUCUGACAGGAAAAAAGACAUUCCAGAAAUGGUGAAUUCCUCAAGUAGAUUACUUUGAACUGAAAUGCCUCUUAAUCAAGUAUGAUGUUGGUUUUGUACCUGUUGCUGCAGUUGAUAAGCAAGUUGUUUAAUGUGUAAGGUGCUAGAAAAGAUUCCCUAGAAUACAUUGGAACCGUUGAUGCAGGUUCUGGUGCCUUUUGAAUCACUUCUGCUGGUGCUGCCACAGCUGUUGAAGAUGCUGGAAAAGCCAUAAACUUGAUUUUUGUUUUAGAGAGCAUACAUUUAUAUCCUUCAAACUGAUAAUAUUCUCUUCCCAACAACUUUGAAUCAAAUCUGCAACACAUCCAGGGAGAUGAUCUUCAAGCAGCUUGCAAAUUCAGAUUGCAGGCUCUGUCUCAGCCAUUCUAAGCAGUUAUUUUAAAUAGUAAUUUUUAGGUAAUCAAUAAUAAUAAUUUUUAGCAAAUUGUAAUUAUGACAAAUGCUGCUUAGCUAUUCUAGAAAAUUACUAUCCAUGCCAUUGUGGCAUGGCACUUGUUUCUAUUUAGGUUUAUAUGAGUAUUUCCUAUGUUGCAAUUUCUAGCAUUUUUCUGAUUUUGAGAAUUGAGUCUUUGGUUACUCUAUCGGGUAGAAUUGUUCUUAAAGGUCUUUAACUUGCCUUGGAAGUUUGGUAAGUUGUAUAAAUAAGGUCCAUGCCACCAAAAUAACAAAAAAAUUUCAAACAAAUAAAAUUGAGUUUGACUUGAGCUAGUCUUAAAAUCCAAGAGCUUGUUUUGGAAGUGUUUUUAAAAACAAUUUUCUGUUCUUAAUAACAAAAAACUAUUUUACAGACUAGAAAAUUUUCUAAACUUGAAAACACAUUUUGACAUUAUUUUUUAUUUUCUUUUUACAAAAUAAAGUUUUUUGAAAACUUGUUCUAAAAACAAGUAUUUUUUUAAAACAUAAUUUAGUUAUUUUCAAUUGUUUUCACUUGUUUUCUGAAGAAUUUCUGAAUUCCUUUUAUUGAUUUUUUAGGUACACACCAUACACAUAUAUAUACACAAAUGACUGAAUAAGAAAAUAUCAAUCUAGCUUGAUUCUCUCCUAAAAUUAGGAAACUGAAUCAUCCUAAAUGAUCUCUCCUUUUUUAUUCCUAAAAUACUUUCCUAAAUUAAAAUCCUAACUUUGAAUGCCAAAUUUCAACACUCCCCCUCAAGCUGGAGAAUAUAUAUAUCAUAUAAUCUCAACUUGCAAGUUAAGUCUUCGAAGUUAGGCCUAGGUAAAGCUUUGGUGAGGAUGUCUGCGGUUUGGUGCUUGGUAGGAACAUAGUUCAAUUUAACGGUCUCACUAGUCACCUUCUCUGUGAUGAAGUGUCUGUCAAUCUCAACAUGCUUGGUCCUGUCAUGAUGCACGGGGUUCUUUGCUAUGCUUAUAGCUGCCUGAUUAUCACACAUCAUCAGAAUUGGAGAUGAACUCGUUUGUCCCAGUUCACUAAGAACCCUUUUUAUCCAAAUCCCUUCACAGAUUCCCUGUGCAAGAGCUCUGUACUCAGCUUCUGCACUACUUCUGGCUACAACUGAUUGCUUCUUACUCCUCCAGGUAACAAGAUUUCCCCAAACAAAAGAACAAUAUCCAAAAGUGGACCGCCUGUCAAUGAUGUUUCCUGCCCAAUCCGCAUCUGAGUAUACUUCAGUGUCACGGUUCUCUGUCUUUCUGAAGAAUAGACCUUUCCCUGGUGUCAUUUUUAAAUAUCUAAGAAUCCUGUAGACUGCUUCCAUGUGUUCCUCAGUGGGGCUGUGCAUGAAUUGACUUACAGCACUCACUGCAAAGCCAAUAUCUGGCCGAGUGUGUGAGAAAUAAAUCAAGUGCCCGACAAGCCGCUGAUAUCUCCCCCUGUCUACCGGUGUACUUUCUUUCUCGAUACCAAGUUUCUUCUGGCUAUCCAUAGGAGUAUCAAUUGGUUUGCAUCCAAGCAUACCGGUCUCCUUAAGAAGAUCGAGUAUGUAUUUUCUUUGAGAGACUACAAUUCCCUUCCUUGAUCUAGCCACUUCCAUACCAAGGAAAUAUUUCAAAUUUCCAAGGUCUUUAACUUCAAACUCUUCUGACAAAUACUUCUUCAACUUCUGUAAUUCCUCCAUAUCAUUCCCAGAUAGAAUAAUAUCAUCGACAUAGACUAUCAAUAUGGCCAUUUUCCCGGCAUGAGACUUCUUGACAAAUAGAGUAUGAUCAGCCUGACCUUGUUUGUAGCCUAGCUUCAGGACUGCCUUUGUGAAUCUAUCAAACCAGGCUCGGGGAGAUUAUUUUAGGCCGUACAAGGAUUUUUGGAGUUUGCAAACCUGAUUCUUUGCCAUACCUUCUUCGAAACCAGGUGGUAUUUCCAUGUAGACUUCCUCUUCUAGGUCACCAUUUAGAAACGCAUUUUUUAUGUCCAGUUGUUGCAAGCACCAAUCUUGAUUGACAGCCAAUGAGAGAAGAAUCCUAAUAAUGUUCAGUUUUGCAACAGGAGCAAAAGUCUCCUGAUAGUCUAUCCCAUAGGAUUGUGUAAACCCUCUAGCUACCAAACGAGCCUUGAAUCUCUCGACUAAUCCAUCUGCUUUGUAUUUUAUGGUGAAAAUCCACUUGCACCCCACAGGCCUCUUCCCAACCGACAAAUCUGUGAUAGUCCACGUCCCAUUCUUCUCAAGUGCAUCAAUCUCAUCUUGUACUGCCUUCUUCCAUUCUGAAAUUUUUAAUGCCUCUUGUAUUGUGUUGGGAACCUGAGUAUCAUCAAGAGAAGUAGCAAAUGCUCUGUAAGAUGGUGAUAGCCCUUCAUACGUAACAUAAUUCCCAAUUGGAUGAUCUGUACAUCUCCUAACACCCUUCCUCAAUGCAAUCGGCAGAGUAGAAUCAUCAAUGCUGGGAAUUAACACCUCUCCAGCCCUAUCCUCACCUAUGUUCUCUUCAGGAAGACUUGAAUUGGAGUCAAUAUAUUGGCCACAUGUUGACUGUGAUCCGUGCUCUAAUUCCUGUCUUUUCCUCCUCCUGAUGUAAACUUGUAAGUUCUCAUUAGCAAGUUGUGGGGCUAUAGGUUGAAUAGGCAUGGGAGACUGGAUGGUCACGGGAGAAGGAACAUUUGUGUGCUGGGCUGGCUGGACUAAUGACGGCAUGGGUGUGGACAACUCAGUGGGCGCGAACUGGGAAGGAUUUGGUGACUCUGAGUGACAAGAAGGUACACCCUCAAGAAGAGACUCCCAAACUUGAUGUUCAUUCAUGCUCUCCCCCUGAACAUGAGAUUUGGGAUAGAAGAAGACAUGUUCAAAAAAAGAGACGUCCAUGGUGGUGUAAAAUCUUUUGUUGGUUGGAGAAUAGCAUUUGUACCCUUUUUGGGUUGGAGAAUACCCUAGGAAAAUGCACUUAUUGGCUCGAGGAGCAAAUUUGCUGCGAUUUUGAGGAUACACAUGAACGAAUGCCGUGCAUCCAAAUACUUUGAGUGGUAUAUCAGAAGAGGCUGCACGGGUGUGAGGAAAUUGUUUUAAGAAAAGUUAACGUGGGGAUUGAAAGGUAAGCACUCUGGAUGGCAUACGGUUAAUCAAAUAGGUAGCUGUGAGAAUAGCUUCCCCCCAGAAAUAGUUUGGAACAUUAGAGGAAAACAUAAGGCACCGGGCAACCUCCAAGAGAUGUCUAUUCUUGCGUUCAGCCACCCCAUUUUGUUGUGGGGUGUCAACGCAAGAACUUAUGUGGAUAAUGUCGUGAUUUUGAAGAUAAGUACUGAGACUACUAGUAAAGUAUUCCUUUGCAUUAUCUGACUUGAGGACUUGAAUUUUGGAAUUGAAUUGAUUUUGAACCAUAAGAUUGAAGGUUUGAAAAAUGUGCCCGACCUCUGACUUUUCUUUCAUAAGGAAAACCCAUGUUACCCGUGUAUGAUCAUCAACGAAUGUCACAAACCAUCGAUUGCCAGAAAUAUUUUUUAUCCGGGAGGGACCCCACACAUCACUAUGUACUAGAGAGAAAACAGUCGAAGGUUUGUAUGGGAUUUGAGGAUAUACUGUUCGAGUAUGCUUUGCAAACUGACAAAUUUCACAGUGAUAAGAUGCUGGAUUUUUAUUGAUAAAUAAUUUGGGAAACAAUUUUGCAAGGUAAACAAAGCUAGGAUGACCAAGGCGAUAGUGUAACAUUAUAAUCUCACUAUCUUUAUUGACCUUAGAAUUUGACACAGAAUUGAAAGACUCUAACAUACUCUGAGACUGUACGCAAUUUGCUUGAGAGACUUGGUUUGAGAAUUGGCCACAUGAGAAGAGGUAGAGCCCGGAACACAGUUCAGCACUGCCAAUCAUCUUCCCCGAUUUCAAGUCCUGAAAAACACACGAGUUUGGAUAGAAUUUAGUAACACAUUGGAGAUCACGGGCCAAUUUGCUAAUGGACAAAAGAUUACAAUCCAAGUUUGGAACAUGGAGGACAGAGUCAAGAUAUAAGUCUUUAGUAAGUUUUAUAGAACCUGUCCCGACAAUUUUUGACUUUGAACCAUCAGCAAUAUGGACGGAUGAAUGAACAUUACUUGGCUUGUAAUUUUGAAGAAUGGCAGCAUCUCCUGUCAUGUGAUCAGAAGCACCUGUGUCCACUAUCCACGGCUUCAUUCCUCCUCGAUUAGCAGUGAAGGCUAUCCCAGUAGUACUGCCACUGCCAACUUGACUUAAUAGUUUUUGUAGCAUCUCCAUCUGCUCUUUGUUGAAUGGACUCGACUCGGGAACAGAUGUGCUCUCAGAGUUGGCAGCCACGUGUGCUCUGCCAUCUCUGUCAGACCGUGGCUUUGGUUUCCAAUCAGCCGGUUUGCCAUGAAGCUUCCAGCAAGCCUCCUUAUAAUGGCCUGGUUUCUUAUAAUAAUCACACCAAGGCCUAUCCCGUUUCUAACGAUCUCCACCACUACUAUUAAAUGACCGAGCAGCAAGGGCAGAGGCAUCCAAUGUUGGGGCAGGUUGCUCUUUGGAUCCCAUCAUCACUUUCUUUCUACUUUCUUCACGCCUAACCUCUAAAAAAGCCUCCUGAGACUUGGAAGGGGUUUAAUGCCCAUGAUUCGGCCUCUAACAUCAUCCAAUUCCCUGUUUAGUCUUAGGAAAAACUUGAACAGUCUCUUUUGUUCCACAAUUUUCCUGUAUGUUGUUGUAUCAUCCGAACAUUUCCAUGAGUGAGUCUCGAAUAAGUCAAGUUGCUGCCAAUACCUUGUGAGUGUGUUGUAAUACUGAGUAACUGACUGCUCUCCUUGGCGGAAGUCAUGUAAGGCUGAUUCAACCUGAAAAAGUUCUGAAGUAUUUUCAGAACUUGAGUAAGUUUCUUUGGCUGCAUCCCAGAUGUCCUUUGCAGUCCUAAACAGCAAAAAAAUUUCACCUAUGUCAUUGUUCAUGGAAUUGAUAAGUCAUGACAUGAUCAUGCUGUUUUCAAUCUUCCACUUCCUGAAACCCGGUUCUGUAGUUUCUGGCAUGGCUGCUUCUCCAGUGAGGUACUCAUCCUUUCCUUUACCGCAAAUGAACAGCAACACAGAUUGUGACCACUGUAAAUAGUUAUGGCCACUUAAUUUGUGUCCUGUAAUGAGAAUAGGAGAGGAAUCAUUGCCACCAAGGUUUGGAAUUUCAGAUCUGCCCCCUGAUUCUGGUGACGUGACGCUGGAUACUUGUAAUGAUGCCAUUCCGUAUUUUGUCAUGGACCGGAAAGGUAGAAGAACACUUCCCAAGGCACGUGCAAGGAUUGGAGUUGAGAAAAAAUAGUCGGAGGACGUCGGAAAAACUGAUCAGAGGGCCCGCGGAGGCAAAAGAACCCCAAAAGAGGCACGUGCAGGGCUCGGAUGGCAGAAACAGGUAAGAAGGGUGGCUGGUCGGCGUCAGGCGAGCCUGGAGGAGGAAGCGCGUCGCCGGAAAGUGGCUCACGCGCCGGCGCGUGAGAUGCAGUCGCCGGCCGGAAAAACGCGCGUGGCCGGCGCGUAGAUGGUUUUCUGGCUCCGGUGCUUUGGGAAAAAUUGGAGAUCUCCUCCAGGCGGUCCUUGUGGUGUAGAAAAAACCGUCGCCGGGAAAGUUCGCCGGAAAAGUUCGCCGGAAAAGUUCACCGGAAAAGUUGCCGGCGGUGAAUGUUUUCUGACAACGAUUCGACCGACCGGAAAGCGUUUUCUCCCUUGGCUCUGAGAACAAGGACUGAUGACCGGAAUGAGAGAUGGCCAGAGAGAGAGAUGGUCGGAUUGAGAGAUGGCCAGAGAGAUUUGGCCGAAAUGAAUGAUGGCCUGAAUGAGAGGUGGCCAGAAGGGAUUAGGGUUUCAGAAAACUGGCUCUGAUACCAUGAAGAAUUUCUGAAUUCCUUUUAUUGAUUUUUUAGAUACACACCAUACACAUAUAUAUACACAAAUGACUGAAUAAGAAAAUAUCAAUCUAGCUUGAUUCUCUCCUAAAAUUAGGAAACUGAAUCAUCCUAAAUGAUCUCUCCUUUUUUAUUCCUAAAAUACUUUCCUAAAUUAAAAUCCUAACUUUGAACGCCAAAUUUCAACAAAGGGAUGUUUUAAAAUAUAAUUGUACAAAUAUCGAGAAUGGUUGAAAAUAAAACAUUAUAGAUAAAAAUUAUUUUUGAGAAAUAUUUCAAAAAAAUAGAAAACAAGUUGAGAAUAUUCUAAAUUUCCAAACAUACUUUUUAUUUUAGAAAAUAUCAUAGAACUGGUUUUGAAAACUAUUUUAAAAAGUUGUUCUUUGAUAAUUGUUUUUUUAAAACGUUCCUAAACAAGCCCCAAUCUCUCCCUUUCAAUAAUUCUUCGCUCCACUUGUUCAUUCUCAAGUAAUCUCCAUUCUUCUUCCUCCAUAAAAAAUUUUCUUACUUAUACACACAUAUUUUACGGUCUUUUUGUAAGACAAUCUUAGCCUUAAGGUUUUGAAGGCCAUCCUACAUCAAUUGGCUUCCAGCCAUCAGGUCCUUAAGCUACGUGAUGAGGAAAAAAGUCAAAGAAUUAUGGAAGAAAAGGAAAAAAUAUUUUUAGAAUGGUAGUUUAGUAAUUUUGGUAUGGUUAGCAUGGGUUAUACCGGCAUCCCAUAGUUUAUUUGAUUAUUUUAUUUUAUUAGGAUUGAUUUUAGUAGUUUAUUUAUUUAUUUUGUCAAACUUCUAUUAGUUUUAGCUUCUAAUUUGUUUAGGCAAAAGAAUUGUAUUCCUACUAUGACAUAGUCUUAGGAAAAAAAAUUUAAGAGUUUAUACAAACCUAUGUAGUCUUUCAGAUUUAUAAGUAGCUAUUAGCUUCUUUGAAAGGUGUAGUCUUCUCCAAGUGAAAUUGCUUAGGAACCUUAGGUGUGAAUGAUUUUUUUCUCCUUCUUUUAGUUUUUCCCAAUGCCUCUCAUCUCAUUCUGCAACUCAGAGAAACUUCCUUGGUGCUGGAAAUUUAACAAUCUUGCACCAAACUAGGCAUUAGAUCCUACAAACAGAACUAUAUCAAUUACAAGUGGUUAAAGUUUUGAGGGAAAUUCAGUGGAUCAACAACAUGAUGAUAAAUGUGAUGAUUGCUCCAAUGAAAUUGGAAUUUUGAAGAUUAGAGGCAUAAUCCUAUAUUUCAAACCAUUGUAUGUUGUGGCAAUAAUUCUUAAUGGAGUACAAAGGAAUAAAUAAUUUCUCUCUAUUUUGAAUCUCCAAAUGAGUAGAGUGCAAAUAAAUGCAUACAAGGGCUAACAACGAUAUAUCUAAUUUAGGACACAAUCAUGAAACCUAAUUAUAAGGCAAUUAUCUAGGAAUGAAAUAAAGGAAAGAAAUAAAAUAGAGAACUAUACAAAAUCAAUCACAAUAUUUACAGACAAUCAUUGCUAAUAAGAUCUGGUAAAAUUUAUCAAAUCUUCCAACAAAGUAAAAUGGGGCAAAAAGUCCUAUUAAAUGUCACCAAAGGAAAUAUAAGAAAACUGACAACAAAAUCUGUCUUAAGUUCGAAAACAAUCUAAAACAAAUACUGCUCUACUUGAAUAAAUUGUAUUAGAAGACAAUCUAUACAUCCUAUUUAUACACAAUUAAGGAUCAAAUUCACCUACCACCUGUCAUCCAACAAUCUCUCAUGAAUUAGAAUCUACUAAAGAAAAAAUUAAAGAAACAAAUAUAAUUAAUACAAAAUCAUUUGAUUGACUAGGAUCACAAUCAAAUUCUUAAGAACCUACCAAGACUCCCCCUCAAGCUAGAGAAUAGAUGUUAUCCAUUCCCAACUUGCAUGUAAUUAUUUGAAACUAGUGACUGACGAAUUCUUAAUCAACACAUCUACAAGUUGCCCCUUUGUUUAAAUAUAAGGUGCAUUGAUCAAAACACCAUCAAGUUUUUCUUGAUCUACUUCUACAUGUUUUGUUCGAUCAUCUUGUACUGGAUUGUGAGCAAUAUUGAUUUUUGAUUUGUUGUUACAAUAUAACUUCAUUGUCCCUUCCCACUUCAUUUCUAGAUCAUCAAGGAUAAUAUUUAUCCAUAAUAACUUACAAAUCUCAUAUGCUAUAGCUUUGAACUCUAACUACACUUGAUCAAGCCACCAUGGAUUGCUUCUUACUUCUCCAUGACACUACGUUGCCACCUUAGAGCCUGUACAAUAAUUGGAGGUAGAUCACCGAUCUACCAUUGAUCCUACCCAAUCCGGAUGAAAUUAUGCAUCUGGUCUUAACUCUUCAUUUUUCUUAAAGAAAAUUCCAUUUCUAGAGCAGAUUUUAAGUAAAGUAGAAUAUUGUAUAGCACCUCUAAAUGAACUUUUCUAGUUUAUGAUCUUAUUCAAUAUGGGUGUCAAUAAGCUUACAAUCAAGCAUACUUGUCUACUUAAGAAGAUCCAAUAUAUACUUCUGUUGAGAGAUAAAAAUAUUCUUCCUUGACUAGGCCACUUCAACCCCCAAAAAGUAAUUGAGUCUUCCCAAGUUGUUUAUCUCAAACUCUUUAGCUAGUUUCUUCUCGAGUCUUUCUAUUUCCUCUAAGUCAUCUCUUGUCACAAUUUUUUCAUCAACAUAAAUUAUGACAACAGUAAGUUUACCCAUAUGUGAGCAUUUGAUGAAUGGUGUAUGAUCUUCUUAGCUUUGUCAAAACUCUUUAUUAUUCAUGGCUUUCACAAAUCUUUCAAACCAUGCUCAAGGAGAUUGUUUUAGGCCAUAAAGCACCUUUCUUAGUCUACACAAAAAUUGUUUCUCUUUAAGUCUCCAUUGAAACCCGAUGGUGUUUCCAUAUACACUUUUUCUUCAAAAUCACCAUGCAAAAAUGCAUUCCUAACAUUAAGUUGCUGUAAAGACCAACCAAAUUUAGGUGUCAAGGAUAGUAAUAUAUGAAAGGUAUUCAUCUUUGCUGCUAGAAUAAAGGUUUUUUAGUAGUUCACCCCAUAAGUUUGCAUAUCCCCUGGGCCAUGAGCCUAGCCUUAUAUCUCUCCAAUGUCCCAUCAGCUCUCUACUUAACUGUGAACACUCAUUUACAUCCAACCAGUUUUUUCCCUUCGGUAAUUCAACUAUUUCCCAAGUUUGGUUUUUUUUCAAGAGCUAACAUCUCUUCCAUGGAUUUCCCCCAAUUCUCUUUUCGAAGUGCUUCUUGAACUAUUUGAGAAAUUUCAAUAGGAGUUUGUUAGGUAAGGAAGGCACUGUCAUAGGGAUAGCUUUUCAAAUGAAAUGAAAUGAAAUUGGAAACCAGGGGUUAAGUGCAUUUUCCGAUGGCUUUCCUAAGGGCAAUUGGUAAAUGGAGAUCAAGAACACUUCUCAAUCUUUGUUUUGAACAAAUAGAUCAUGAGUUUCUGGUGAGAGCAACAAAUUUGAAGCAAUAGGAGACAUAACACUAGAAAUAGAUUGGUGGAGUUUGUGUGUUCAUUACUAGGCUUGGAUUCAGACUCUCGAGCUUGUAUUCAAUCAAGUCAUAAUUGUUUCUGCCUAGAAUAAGCAUGCACUGGCAUGACAGCCGCAUUAACUACCCCUUGAUCUGUCUCUUAUGACGAUUCUUGACCAGGUGACAAGGAUGUAGAACCUAUAGGUGAGACCUUUUGUGCAGGUGGCAUAGAUUCAGAAAGUUCAAGCAGAUCAUAAGAGAGAAACUUAUCUUCACCUAAGCCCUCCCCUUGGAGAUAAGUAUUAGGAAAAAAUCAUUAUUUUCAACAAAAAUGACAUCCAUGGUGGUGAAAAAUUUUUCAGCAGAAUGCAAGAUUAUAACAUUUAUAACUCCUUUUAGUUGGAGAGUAUCCCCCACAAAUAUAGUAUCCCACAAAUACACAUUUUAGAGCUCGAGGAUCAAAUUUGCUGCAAUUUAGAGGAUAGAUAUGGACAAAUAACACGCAACCAAAGACUUAGAGAGGAAGUUCACGGGAGUUUUUGAAAGGUGGGAAAAAAUUUUGGGAGUGUCUAAUGAAGCUUUAUUUUCAAGCACUUUUGUGGGUAGUUGGUUAAUCAAAAUAGUGCAAUUAGGACAACUUCUCGUCAAUAUGAUUUAGGCAUAAUUUUAUAAAAAAGUAGGGUCAAGUGAUUUGACUUCUAAUAGAUCCUUGAUUUUUUGUUUAUCCAUUUCAUUUUGUUGGAAUUAAUACAUUAAGACUUAUACAAUCCCUUCUUUUUCGAGAAAGGGAAAUAACAUCUAAGUAAAGUACUCUUUCCUAUUUUUAGAUCUAAUGUUUUUUAUCUUAACUCUAAACUAUGUGAUAACCAUUUUGCGGAAAAGAGGAAACACAAAACUAACAUUUGAUUUGUUUUUAAUGAGGAAUAACCAAUUCACCCUAGUACAAUCAUCAAUAAAGAACACAAACCACUUUGCUCCUGAAAAAACUUGGGAUUUGAGACGAUCCCCAAACAUCAAUAUGAAUUAACAAAAAAGAGAAUAUUGAUUUUGUAUUACUUAAAGGAAACGGAACAUGAUGAUGUUUAGCUAAUUGACAAACCUCACAAUGAAAACUGUUAACAUUCAAUUUAUUGAAUGACAAGGAAACAUUUUUUUAGCAAAGAAAAUGAUGGACACCCUAGAUGAAGAUGAUGCAACCAUAUUUGGGCUUUAUUCAAUGAGAAUUUUUAAAAAAUAAAAAAUAAAAGCGUGACAUAUGAUCACCAUUGCCAAAACUAGAUUCAAGCAGGUACAAACCCAUCUUGUUCCUUAGCAUGUCCAAUCAUCCUCCCCAUGGCUCGGUCUUGGAUCACAUAAUGAGAUGGGAAAAAGGUUAUGGUAUAAUUCAAAUCUUUAGUAGUUUAAUGAAUUGCCAAGAGGUUAGUUGAAAUUUUUGGAACAGGUGACAUGAAUUUUAAUGUGAGAGACAAUGUUAAGGCAACUUUUCCUUGGCACAAAAUGCUGCUAGUGUCUUAUCGGCAACUUUAAUUUUUUUAUCCCCAAAAUAUGGAUUAUUAGAAGUGAAACAGUGUGAAGAAUAAGUCAUAUGAUCAGUAGCACUUAAGUCAAGGACCCAUGUACUUGGAAAAUAGUCCUUUGAAAUACUAAGAACAUGAGAAAUAGGAUACUUACCUGAUUAAGUUAGAGAGCAUGAAGUAAUAGGCUUAUCCAUUAAAGUUAGAAGGCUACGAAGCCUCUCAAUCUCCUCUUUGCUUAAUCUAUCAGCAUCUAAAUCAUUAGAAGCUGAGACUUCUUACUAGGAAUUCUCUUAAGAUCGAGUAAUAUUGGGUUGGCCACUCCGAUGUCCAAAUUGUGCAUAUCAAUUUUCGCUCCCUCUACCAUAUGAUUGCAGCUUUCCAUAGAGUUUCCAGCAGGCCUCCUUGGUUUUUUGCAAUAGAUACAUCAUAAGCCAUCUUUAUUCACUGGUGAUCUGGAUAUUUCACUUCCUUCAUAAUUGUUGUUUGGCAAUGUAGAGUUUGGCUUCAUAGUGGUAAGAGUUGAGCCUUCUGUUGUUAGUGUCAAGCAUAACACUCCUUCCUUCUCCUGCUCUUAUAAUGGAGAAGACUUUAUUUAGUGGAGGUAGAUCUUCCUUUCCAAGGACUUAAACCUUAACUUGAUCGUAUUCCACAUUGAAAUCUCACUAAGAAAUUAAAUAUCCUUUCUCUUUCAACAUAUGUGAGCAUGAUUGCAGCAUCUUCACCGCGCUUCAUCUUAAUCUUAUGACAAUAAUCUAAUUCGAGCCAUAAGGUUUUCAUGAUAUUGUAGUAUUCAAUAACAAAAAAAGUACCUUACUUGGUAGCACCAAUAUUGGAAUUUAUUUCAUAGAUGUGGGCAGCAUCCCUCACUUUAGAGUAUUUUGCCUAAUAGUCUCCCAAAUAUCACUAACCAUCAUCAAGAAUAUGCACAUCCCACUGACCUCUAGUUGCAUUGAAUUCCAUAGCCAUGACAUAAUCAUCAAGUCCUCUUCAUCUGAAACAGUAAACUUUGGAUCGUCUCACUCAAGACAAGUCCAAUUAGAUGACUCAAUUUUCCUUUUCCCUUAAAAAACAUUUGUACAAGUUGAGACCACACCAGGUAAUCGCAGUCAUUGGGUUGAUUCGAUUAUGCAGAUUUUGAUAUUCUACAUAAAGGUUUUUGCUAGUCAGGUUAGGAGCAAAGUUUGAAGACUAGAUGAUUUCUAAUCCAUCAAACAUAUUAGAGCUAAUCAGAAACAAUUUUUGUAAAUUUGACUUAAACCUUAACUUGAUCGUAUUCCACAUUGAAAUCUCACUAAGAAAUUAAAUAUCCUUUCUCUUUCAACAUAUGUGAGCAUGAUUGCAGCAUCUUCACCGCGCUUCAUCUUAAUCUUAUGACAAUAAUCUAAUUCGAGCCAUAAGGUUUUCAUGAUAUUGUAGUAUUCAAUAACAAAAAAAGUACCUUACUUGGUAGCACCAAUAUUGGAAUUUAUUUCAUAGAUGUGGGCAGCAUCCCUCACUUUAGAGUAUUUUGCCUAAUAGUCUCCCAAAUAUCACUAACCAUCAUCAAGAAUAUGCACAUCCCACUGACCUCUAGUUGCAUUGAAUUCCAUAGCCAUGACAUAAUCAUCAAGUCCUCUUCAUCUGAAACAGUAAACUUUGGAUCGUCUCACUCAAGACAAGUCCAAUUAGAUGACUCAAUUUUCCUUUUCCCUUAAAAAACAUUUGUACAAGUUGAGACCACACCAGGUAAUCGCAGUCAUUGGGUUGAUUCGAUUAUGCAGAUUUUGAUAUUCUACAUAAAGGUUUUUGCUAGUCAGGUUAGGAGCAAAGUUUGAAGACUAGAUGAUUUCUAAUCCAUCAAACAUAUUAGAGCUAAUCAGAAACAAUUUUUGUAAAUUUGAGAUAGAAGAAAAUUUAUGAGGCUAUGUGGACUAAAAUUCAAAGGAAGGAGAUGGAGACCAACAAGUUCUACUACUACUAGCAAUGAAGGCCAUACAAGUGUGGUGAAAUUCUCAAUGAUUAAGGCUGAGAAUAGGAAAAACUUAGGGUGCAAAAGAGAGCCCUAGCUCUGAUACCAUGAAACAAAUUCUAUUCUAAUUGAAUUGUAUUAGAAUACAAUCUAUACAUCCUAUUUAUACACAAUUAGGGAUCAGAUUCACCUAUAAUCUCUCUUGUAAAUCACGGAUUAGAUUCACCUACCACUUAUCAUCCUACAAUCUCUCCCAUAAGUAAGAUUCUACCAAAGAAAAAAGAAAAGAAAUAAAUACAACUAAUGCAAAAUCAUUUGAUUGACUAGGAUCAUAAUCAUAUUCACAAUCUGAAAACUCUUUUCUUUUCUCUUUUAUUAUAUUACAACAAAGUAAAAAAAAAAAAUGGUUGUCUUUGGCAAAAAUUUGAUUGACAUUGAGAAAAUCCAUUGGUUUUUAAGGUGUUGGAUGAUAGUACACAUUGGUCAACCGUGUUCUAAACUUUUGUCCUUUUAUUGGAAAAUGGAAUUGAAGCUUAAGAAUGUAAAACAUUGUGUUUAAAACAUUUAGAUCAAUUUUUAUCAAACUAAAGGAUAAUAAUUUAAGCUGAACCAAGAUUUUUUUAGUCUUGUCCGAUCGAUUGGACUUCAAUCACAUCUAU